UACGAAGGACCCGAGCGUUAUCCGGAUUCAUUGGGUUUAAAGGGUGCGUAGGCGGAUUGGUAAGUCAGUGGUGAAAGCCUGAUGCUUAACAUCAGAACUGCCAUUGAUACUGUCGAUCUUGAGUACAUUUGAAGUGGGCGGAAUGUGUCAUGUAGCGGUGAAAUGCUUAGAUAUGACACAGAACACCGAUUGCGAAGGCAGCUCACUAAACUGUAACUGACGCUGAGGCACGAAAGCGUGGGGAGCAAACAGG
rnacentral:rRNA from 1 species